GAUGAACGCUGGCGGCGUGCCUAAUACAUGCAAGUCGAGCGAACAGACGAGGAGCUUGCUCCUCUGACGUUAGCGGCGGACGGGUGAGUAACACGUGGAUAACCUACCUAUAAGACUGGGAUAACUUCGGAAAACCGGAGCUAAUACCGGAUAAUAUAUUGAACCGCAUGGUUCAAUAGUGAAAGACGGUUUUGCUGUCACUUAUAGAUGGAUCCGCGCCGCAUUAGCUAGUUGGUAAGGUAACGGCUUACCAAGGCGACGAUGCGUAGCCGACCUGAGAGGGUGAUCGGCCACACUGGAACUGAGACACGGUCCAGACUCCUACGGGAGGCAGCAGUAGGGAAUCUUCCGCAAUGGGCGAAAGCCUGACGGAGCAACGCCGCGUGAGUGAUGAAGGUCUUCGGAUCGUAAAACUCUGUUAUUAGGGAAGAACAAAUGUGUAAGUAACUAUGCACGUCUUGACGGUACCUAAUCAGAAAGCCACGGCUAACUACGUG
rnacentral:rRNA from 1 species